rnacentral:rRNA from 1 species
UUGACCUCGAAUCAGGUGGGGAUCCCGCCUGA